UUUCCAACUAAUUUUUUUUUUUUUCCAUUUUCCUAACAGCGUAUUUGGUAAGUCCCAUAAGUCCAUCCAUUUGAAAUCUCUAUCCGCAGCCAGAGGAACCCACAAAACGCACUGACUAAUGCGCGACGAUUAGAAGCUGAGCCAAAUAUAUGGCAGCAUAUAUAGUCUAUAUAGUACAAAGUCGACUCACCCGCACACAGAGAGGCGGCAAAAUCUCUUUGCAAAAUGUCGCCGACGACAUUUUAUUUCGCCAGAUUUUCUCGACUAAUUUUUCAUUUUCUUGCCCGCAAAUGCGAGUACAACCAGAGGAGGAAAAUGCAAAAAAAGAAGCAAAGGACUGGUGUGCAGUUGGCAGGCAGCACAAGGCACAAUUAAUCACGGCCACUGGGUGAACGGGGGAAAACCGCAGCAAUGUGACAAAAAUUCCGCCUGAUUUUGUCUUAAUUAACGCCAAACGCUUCAAUAGCGAUAAAAUAUGCCCCAGUCGAAGGCCCAACUCCAAUUAAUGCCCUGCAGCCCGGCCUCAUCAGUCAACGCUCCUGUGACUCUUUGAGUUUUGUUUAUUUUGCCCGGCUCGACUUUGCGAAAUUCACGCAUCAUUCGCACUUUUGGUGGCAGACAGAAGAUUUGCAAGACUUGGCCAGACCCGUAAAAGUAUUUAAUUGGACCACACAGAAUCGGCCCAAAGCGGAUCUUUUUCUUUUUCUGCGUAUAAAGACUUCGAUUUUAUGGAUUAGUUCUUUAGCCCCCACCUUUCUUCUUGGAGUUCCUUCUUAUUUAGGAUUUUUACUGCCUUGUGACUCAUAAACCACAACACGCAUUCAAUCAUCCCAGUCCCAAUCGCAGCCCCACACCAAUCGGAAUCUCGGUCUGCAAACAGGAUUUCACUUAUCAUAAACAAGAUGGCGCCACGUGUGGUCCUUCUUACGAGCAUCAGCGAAUGGCUCUAAAUCAAAAAAUGUAAACAAGUGCAAAAAUAUCAAUAAAGACUGCGGGCGGGGGAUUGGAAGCUCGAAUGGAGCGCGAGGAUCCGGACUCAGCAUGUUGUACAUUUAAUUUUCAACUUUUGACAUAUUUAUGAUAACUUGGGUCAUUUACGUGCAACCUUUGUCUGGUGGUUCAGCAGCCCCAGAAAUACGAUUGUAACGCGAAAGAAGACGGCGAUGCCAGGUGAAAGAAGUCGGUUGCGCAUGCGUGGCACGUACACUGGGAAAAAAUUUUCAAAAAAUAU